CUGGGACCGCCCGAUGCCCGACUUCGACGACUGGCGUGGCGUUCUCGGCGC
rnacentral:tRNA from 1 species